rnacentral:rRNA from 1 species
GACGAACGCUGGCGGCGUGCUUAACACAUGCAAGUCGAACGGAAAGGCCCUGCUUUUGUGGGGUGCUCGAGUGGCGAACGGGUGAGUAACACGUGAGUAACCUGCCCUUGACUUUGGGAUAACUUCAGGAAACUGGGGCUAAUACCGGAUAGGAGCUCCUGCUGCAUGGUGGGGGUUGGAAAGUUUCGGCGGUUGGGGAUGGACUCGCGGCUUAUCAGCUUGUUGGUGGGGUAGUGGCUUACCAAGGCUUUGACGGGUAGCCGGCCUGAGAGGGUGACCGGCCACAUUGGGACUGAGAUACGGCCCAGACUCCUACGGGAGGCAGCAGUGGGGAAUAUUGCACAAUGGGCGGAAGCCUGAUGCAGCAACGCCGCGUGCGGGAUGACGGCCUUCGGGUUGUAAACCGCUUUCGCCUGUGACGAAGCGUGAGUGACGGUAAUGGGUAAAGAAGCACCGGCUAACUACGUGCCAGCAGCCGCGGUGAUACGUAGGGUGCGAGCGUUGUCCGGAUUUAUUGGGCGUAAAGGGCUCGUAGGUGGUUGAUCGCGUCGGAAGUGUAAUCUUGGGGCUUAACCCUGAGCGUGCUUUCGAUACGGGUUGACUUGAGGAAGGUAGGGGAGAAUGGAAUUCCUGGUGGAGCGGUGGAAUGCGCAGAUAUCAGGAGGAACACCAGUGGCGAAGGCGGUUCUCUGGGCCUUUCCUGACGCUGAGGAGCGAAAGCGUGGGGAGCGAACAGGCUUAGAUACCCUGGUAGUCCACGCUGUAAACGGUGGGUACUAGGUGUGGGGUCCAUUCCACGGGUUCCGUGCCGUAGCUAACGCUUUAAGUACCCCGCCUGGGGAGUACGGCCGCAAGGCUAAAACUCAAAGGAAUUGACGGGGCCCCGCACGAGCGGCGGAGCAUGCGGAUUAAUUCGAUGCAACGCGUAGAACCUUACCUGGGUUUGACAUGGAUCGGGAGCGCUCAGAGAUGGGUGUGCCUCUUUUGGGGUCGGUUCACAGGUGGUGCAUGGCUGUCGUCAGCUCGUGUCGUGAGAUGUUGGGUUAAGUCCCGCAACGAGCGCAACCCUUGUUCACUGUUGCCAGCACGUUAUGGUGGGGACUCAGUGGAGACCGCCGGGGUCAACUCGGAGGAAGGUGGGGAUGACGUCAAGUCAUCAUGCCCCUUAUGUCCAGGGCUUCACGCAUGCUACAAUGGCUGGUACAGAGAGUGGCGAGCCUGUGAGGGUGAGCGAAUCUCGGAAAGCCGGUCUCAGUUCGGAUUGGGGUCUGCAACUCGACCUCAUGAAGUCGGAGUCGCUAGUAAUCGCAGAUCAGCAACGCUGCGGUGAAUACGUUCCCGGGGCU